GAAUUCUUCUCCAAAAUUUCAUGAAAUAAGAUUUCAAACUUUACUUCAAAAGUAUUUUCCCGCAUAAUCCACGUUUCUACAAUAUAUUCUCGACAGAAAAUUUGACAUUUUAGUUCAUUUUGAACUAUUUUGAAAGAAAAUAGACCGAGUUUCCUUGCAACGAGAAUAAUCCGAUACCGCCGGCGAUCUGUGUUCGUGCAACUUGCAAGGUCUGCAAAAUUGAGUUGAUUUUUCCGUCACUUGACAUCUUUUUAAUGCUUUUUUUAAUGCAACAUCCAUUGGUAACGGGUCGUCUGGAGGAUACAAGCACUUGGGCUAGUACCUGAGUGUACCAACCUACACCAGGGAGGAGAAGAGGUUUCAGACUCAACUUGCGAUGGCCUUUCCAUUUCCUUCACAAGCAGAAAUAAUACUGAGUUCCAAUGACUUGGGCAUCAGAGUGGCAGUCCCUUGAUGGAUGAGGUAAAUACAGCUUCUUAGAUACAAUGAAUCGAUUCUUGUGCACUUCAUGCAGGCAUGUCAGUUAAGUUUCUGUUUUUUUUUUUUUCGAAUUCUUUAAAAGAAAAAAGGACAACUGAAUUGAACAAAAUUUUACUUGUUUUACUUAUAAGUUUUGUAGAAGUUGUAACAUUUUAAAUUAAUUUGUGGAUAUGGUAAUGCGAAAUUUAUGUGGAUCCUUUAUGUUAUGUAAAUCUUCCAGAUAUACCAGAUGUGGUUCUAGUGUGUUUAGCAAAUUAACUUAGCUUUGAUAUAUUCAAAAAUGUAUUGCUUCUAAAUUGAAGACAAGAUAAAGAUUGAAAAUGGUCGGAUUUGUUUUAGUAUCAAGAGGUGCAGACUGCAGAUCUUCAAAUAUUUGAAAUUACAAUAAUUUUGUCAAUAAUUCAUUUCAUACUUCAUUUCAUACUUCAUUUCAUCUUUCCAGCUGUUUGAUUGAGUUGAGACAACAUGGAUUGCAAUAUAAAAACAAAAUUGUAAGGAAGUGCUGAAAGGACAAGUCCACUCCAACAAAAAGUUGGUUUUAAUAAAAAGAGAGAAAUCCAACAAGCAUAACAAUUGUAGUUUUAAGAUUGUCCAUAUUGUUACAUUGGCACCCAAAGCAGAGGAUAUUCUCAAUUGGAGUUACGAAUCAACAAAUAUAACUACUGGCACACAUGAAUUUGUGAAUAUGCACAAAUAGUAUACAAAUAUAGCAGACUUUAAGGAAGUAUAGCAGGAAUUAUUUGUCUGUUGGACUGGCAAUUGCUAAUUAUACUAAGAGGCAUAAGUAUGACUAGGCACACAUGAAUUUGUGAAUAUGUAAAUAGUAAACAAAUAUACCAGGAAUGGUGCACUUUGAUUUUCUUUAUGUUUUU